GACGAACCGUGCGAACGUUGUUCGGAAUUACUGGGCGUAAAGCGUGCGCAGGCGGUCUGUUAAGACCGAUGUGAAAUCCCCGGGCUUAACCUGGGAACUGCAUUGGUGACUGGCAGGCUUUGAGUGUGGCAGAGGGAGGUAGAAUUCCACGUGUAGCAGUGAAAUGCGUAGAGAUGUGGAGGAAUACCGAUGGCGAAGGCAGCCUCCUGGGCCAACACUGACGCUCAUGCACGAAAGCGUGGGGAGCAAACAGG
rnacentral:rRNA from 1 species